rfam:Brachypodium distachyon strain Bd21 chromosome 2, whole genome shotgun sequence.
AGUUGAUGUGAUGAUAAGAUUUCACAGAAAAUCAAUUAGUGAUGACCAAAAAUUACAGACUACAAUUAUCUGAUCAACU